CACACACACACACACACGUAU
rnacentral:miRNA from 1 species